rnacentral:rRNA from 1 species
GAUGAACGCUGGCGGCGUGCCUAAUACAUGCAAGUCGAGCGAACAGACGAGGAGCUUGCUCCUCUGACGUUAGCGGCGGACGGGUGAGUAACACGUGGAUAACCUACCUAUAAGACUGGGAUAACUUCGGGAAACCGGAGCUAAUACCGGAUAAUAUAUUGAACCGCAUGGUUCAAUAGUGAAAGACGGUUUUGCUGUCACUUAUAGAUGGAUCCGCGCCGCAUUAGCUAGUUGGUAAGGUAACGGCUUACCAAGGCAACGAUGCGUCGCCGACUUGAGAGGGUGAUCGGCCACACUGGAACUGAGACACGGUCCAGACUCCUACGGGGGGCAGCAGUAGGGAAUUUUCCGCAAUGGGCGAAAGCUUGACGGAGCAACGCCGCGUGAGUGAUGAAGGUCUUCGGAUCGUAAAACUCUGUUAUUAGGGAAGAACAAAUGUGUAAGUAACUAUGCACGUCUUGACGGUACCUAAUCAGAAAGCCACGGCUAACUACGUG